rnacentral:rRNA from 1 species
GUGGGGAAUCUUCCGCAAUGGACGAAAGUCUGACGGAGCGACGCCGCGUGAGUGAAGAAGGCCUUCGGGUCGUAAAGCUCUGUCAUCAGGGACGAAUGGCCGGUGGAGUGGAAAGCCACCGGAUUGACGGUACCUGAGAAGGAAGCCACGGCUAACUACGUGCCAGCAGCCGCGGUAAUACGUAGGUGGCAAGCGUUGUCCGGAAUUAUUGGGCGUAAAGCGCGCGCAGGUGGGAUCUUAAGUCCAUUUUGAAAGUUCGGAGCUCAACUCCGUGAUGGGAUGGAAACUGGGAUUCUUGAGUACCGGAGAGGAAAGCGGAAUUCCCCGUGUAGCGGUGAAAUGCGUAGAUAUGGGGAGGAACACCAGUGGCGAAGGCGGCUUUCUGGACGGUGUCUGACACUGAGGCGCGAAAGCCAGGGGAGCGAACGGGAUUAGAUACCCGAGUAGUCC